rnacentral:rRNA from 1 species
GACGAACGCUGGCGGCGUGCUUAACACAUGCAAGUCGAACGGAAAGGCCUCUUUCGGGGGGUACUCGAGUGGCGAACGGGUGAGUAACACGUGAGUAACCUGCCCUUGACUUUGGGAUAACUUCAGGAAACUGGGGCUAAUACCGGAUAGGAGCUCCUGCUGCAUGGUGGGGGUUGGAAAGUUUCGGCGGUUGGGGAUGGACUCGCGGCUUAUCAGCUUGUUGGUGGGGUAGUGGCUUACCAAGGCUUUGACGGGUAGCCGGCCUGAGAGGGUGACCGGCCACAUUGGGACUGAGAUAUGGCCCAGAAUCCUACGGGAGGCAGCAGUGGGGAAUAUUGCACAAUGGGUGGAAGCCCGAUGCAGCAACGCCGUGUGCGGGAUGACGGCCUUCGGGUUGUAAACCGCUUUCGCUCAUGACGAAGCUUUGUGUGACGGUAGUGGGUAAAGAAGCACCGGCUAACUACGUG